GUAGUAUUCCCUCCGUCCCAAAAUUCUUGUCUUACAUUUGUUUAGAUACGGAUGUAUCUAACACUGAAAUGUAACUAGAUACAUCCGUAUUUAGACAAAUUUAAGACAAGAAUUUUGGGACGGAGGAAGUACAAA
rnacentral:pre_miRNA from 1 species